rnacentral:rRNA from 1 species
UGAAAUCCCCGGGCUUAACCUGGGAAUUGCGUUUGAAACUGCAGAACUAGAGUGCGGCAGAGGGAGGUGGAAUUCCAUGUGUAGCAGUGAAAUGCGUAGAGAUAUGGAAGAACAUCGAUGGCGAAGGCAACCUCCUGGGCUAGCACUGACGCUCAUGCACGAAAGCGUGGGGAGCAAACAGGAUUAGAUACCCUGGUAGUCCACGCCCUAAACUAUGUCAACUAGUUGUCGGGUCUUAUUGGGCUUGGUAACGUAGCUAACGCGUGAAGUUGACCGCCUGGGGAGUACGGUCGCAAGAUUAAAACUUAAAGAAAUUGACGG